rnacentral:rRNA from 1 species
GACGAACGCUGGCGGCGUGCCUAACACAUGCAAGUCGAGCGGGGAGAGAUUUUCGGAUUUCUCUUUAGCGGCGGACGGGUGAGUAACACGUGGGUAACCUGCCUCAAAGAGGGGGAUAGCCUUCCGAAAGGAAGAUUAAUACCGCAUAAUAUCAGGAAGCUGCAUGGCAUUCUGAUUAAAGGAGCAAUCCGCUUUGAGAUGGACCCGCGGCGCAUUAGCUAGUUGGUGAGGUAACGGCCCACCAAGGCGACGAUGCGUAGCCGACCUGAGAGGGUGAUCGGCCACAUUGGAACUGAGACACGGUCCAGACUCCUACGGGAGGCAGCAGUGGGGAAUAUUGCACAAUGGGGGAAACCCUGAUGCAGCAACGCCGCGUGAGUGAUGAAGGCCUUCGGGUCGUAAAGCUCUUUGAUCAGGGACGAUAAUGACGGUACCUGAAAAACAAGCCACGGCUAACUACGUGCCAGCCGCCGCCGUAAGAC